AUUGAACGCUGGCGGCAGGCCUAACACAUGCAAGUCGAGCGGAGCGGCGGACGGGUGAGUAAUGCCUAGGAAUCUGCCUGGUAGUGGGGGAUAACGUCCGGAAACGGGCGCUAAUACCGCAUGCUAUCAGAUGAGCGUAGGGCGGAUUAGCUAGUUGGUGGGGUAAAGGCCUAGCAAGGCGACGAUCCGUAACUGGUCUGAGGGGAUGAUCAGUCACACGGGCACUGAGACACGGUCCAGACGCCUACGGGAGGCAGCAGUGGAGAAUAUUGGACAAUGGGCGAAAGCCUAAUCCAGCCAUGCCGCGUGUGUGAAGAAGGUCUUCGGCUUGUAAAGCAAUUUAAGUUGGGAGGCGUUACCCACAGAAUAAGCACCGGCUAACUUCGUGCCAGCCGCCGCGGUAAUAC
rnacentral:rRNA from 1 species